CCCUUAGAUGUUCGGAGCUGCACGCGCGCUACACUGAAGGAAGCAGCGUGUUAGAACACCUGGUUCGUGAGAACUGGGUAAUCCGGUGAAUGUCCUUCGUGAUUGGGAUAGGCACUUGUAAUUAUUUGCCUUGAACGAGGAAUACCUAGUAAGUGCGAGUCAUCAGCUUGCGCUGACUACGUCCCUGCCCCUUGUACACACCGCCCGUCGCUACUACCGACUGGUAAGAUAUCUAAGGAGCAUGGACGUCGGCAGACGCGGUUCACGCCGUGUCUGCGGGCAGAAGCGCCCCGCAGAUUUCUUGCUGGAGGAAGUAAAAGUCGUAACA
rnacentral:rRNA from 1 species